rnacentral:rRNA from 1 species
AACGAACGCUGGCGGCAGGCCUAACACAUGCAAGUCGAGCGCCCCAGCGAUGGGGAGCGGCGGACGGGUGAGUAACGCGUGGGAACGUGCCUCUUGCUACGGAAUAGCCUCGGGAAACUGGGAGUAAUACCGUAUGUGCCCUACGGGGGAAAGAUUUAUCGGCAAGAGAUCGGCCCGCGUUGGAUUAGGUAGUUGGUGGGGUAAUGGCCUACCAAGCCGACGAUCCAUAGCUGGUUUGAGAGGAUGAUCAGCCACACUGGGACUGAGACACGGCCCAGACUCCUACGGGAGGCAGCAGUGGGGAAUCUUAGACAAUGGGCGCAAGCCUGAUCUAGCCAUGCCGCGUGAGCGAUGAAGGCCUUAGGGUUGUAAAGCUCUUUCAGUGGGGAAGAUAAUGACUGUACCACAGAAGAAGCCCCGGCUAACUCCGUGCCAGCAGCCGCGGUAAAGUAC